ACACACACACACACACACUUAAAAUAAUAAUAAUUAAAUAAAUAAAUUAUUUUACUAACUAGGCUGGAGAGAUGGUAGGCAUAGGAGCAGAAGGACCUGGAUUCAGAUCUCCAUCACCAAAAUAAAAACCCCGGCAUGGUGGCCCAUAUCUACAUCUUAGAGCUGGGGAGGUGAAGACAGGAGCCCUGAGCCUCACUGGCCAGCUAGUUAGGCUGAGCUGGAGAACUCCAGGGUCAUUGAGAGACUGUCUCCAGCAAAUGAACACAUGCCACACUCCUCCAAAAGCCAGCAAGACAAACAAUUAUACAAACAAACAUCAAACUACAAGGAACACAGAGUACAAUGGGGCAAGCACUCAGUGUCAACCUUUGGACUCCACACAUAAGAAGACCUACAUGUGAACAUGUGUAUCUGUAUCCAUCAUGUACAUGCCUGUCAAUCAGCUUAUCAAUACUAAGCACCCAAUAAAUAUCCUUCAAUUAAUGAAAAAAUACACACGCUUCAUUUUUUUGAUUCAUGACCAUAUUGGCAACUUCAACAAUUUUGUAUUUUCCCUGUUAAUGUGGGAAUUGUAUUACUCCCCAAUUCAUUAUGGAAGUUCUAAUGACAUCACUGUGACUGACAUCCAUAGUGAACUUGCUCAAGAGGCUACACUUCUGGGUAACCUACUUUAUGUUGACGAGUGAUUAAUUAUUCUGUCUGUGUCUCCUAUCUAGGAAUGGAGGCAUUCAAAACCCAACUGACACUUUAUAAUGCAUGAAUUUCCAGAUAUGAUGGUGGUAUUAAAGACAGAUGCAAGAUAGAGGUUUUUUUUUUUUUAAAAAUCUACUGGACCAAAGGGGAGUGUAUUCUUCAACUGAUAUUACUGAAUAAAACAGAAGGCCUCAGUCAAAUCCUGCUGCAAAGAAGAUUCUUAGAUAAGCCCAGCUGCUGAUGAAGUAGGAACAAGCCGAGCAGCCUGAAAAGAGCAAACAGCGCAGCUGCCUGGAUGAGGCUGGCUGCAGCAGAGACACCUGGAAAGGACUCUCCGACCUACUGAGCUGCCUGGAUGCUCCACAGUAUGCUUGUGACCCCAGCUUUGUGAGCUGUCAGCCAUGUUAGGUUGGGCCUUGGUGAUUCAGCUAUCUUUGAGUGAUUUCUGCUCCUGUAAGUAGCCCUUCAUCCAUAUUCCUGUAAGCAACUCCAGUAAAGCUCAUUGGUUCACCAA